GCUGCUGUUCUCUCUGUGUCCAACAUUUGCUGUUCUCUCCUCUCUCCUUUCAUCUCUUUUGGUUUAUCGCCUUUGUCAGAAAACAGCUAAAGAACCUCAGAUUGAUGAGCAAACAGCUGACACUAGAGGUCAAACAAGACUGAAUCAGGGUGAAGAUGUGUGUUAUGCUGCGCUGGAAAUCCGUCAGACAUUGCAGAGACCAAAGAAGAAGAAAACUGCAAGUUCUGACUUCAGCACUUAU